rnacentral:rRNA from 1 species
GAGUUUGAUCCUGGCUCAGGAUGAACGCUAGCGGCAGGCCUAAUACAUGCAAGACGAGCGGUAAAUGUUUCAGCAAUGAGAUAUGAGAGCGUCGUAAGGGUGCGUAACACGUAUGCAAUCCUGCCCGGACCGGAGCAUAAGCUCGCCGAAAGCGGAUUAACUCUCCAUAAGAUGGUGGUGCGGCAUCGACAGAGCCAUUAAAUCUCCGGAGGUCCUGGGAUGAGCAUGCGGAUGAUUAGCUAGUUGGUGGUGUAACGGACCACCAAGGCGAAUGAUCAAUAGGGGAACCUGAGAGGUUGAUCCCCACACU